rnacentral:rRNA from 1 species
UACAUGGGGUGCAAACGUUGCUCGGAAUUAUUGGGCGUAAAGCGCACGUAGGCGGUUUGUUAAGUCGGAUGUGAAAUCCCUCGGCUCAACUGAGGAAGUGCAUUCGAAACUACUGGACUUGAGUACUGAAGAGGGUCGCGGAAUUCCCGGUGUAGAGGUGAAAUUCGUAGAUAUCGGGAGGAACACCAGUGGCGAAGGCGGCGACCUGGGCAGAUACUGACGCUGAGAUGCGAAAGCGUGGGGAGCAAACAGGG